UAAGGAAUAUUGGUCAAUGGAGGCAACUCUGAACCAGCCAUGCCGCGUGCAGGAUGACUGCCCUAUGGGUUGUAAACUGCUUUUGUCAGGGAAUAAACCUUUCUACGUGUAGGAAGCUGAAUGUACCUGAAGAAUAAGGAUCGGCUAACUCCGUGCCAGCAGCCGCGGUAAUACGGAGGAUCCAAGCGUUAUCCGGAUUUAUUGGGUUUAAAGGGUGCGUAGGCGGUCCUAUAAGUCAGUGGUGAAAGACGGCAGCUUAACUGUCGCAGUGCCUUUGAUACUGUAGGACUUGAAUCUAUUUGAAGUGGGCGGAAUAAGACAAGUAGCGGUGAAAUGCAUAGAUAUGUCUUAGAACUCCGAUUGCGAAGGCAGCUCACUAAGUUAGUAUUGACGCUGAUGCACGAAAGCGUGGGGAUCAAACAGG
rnacentral:rRNA from 1 species